AUGGCCGCCAGACCAAUCACGGUCCUCAUCUUCACAUUUCUCCUCUCCCUCCACACCGCAAGCCCGGCUCUCGUCGGGGAAGAGGAUGACCGCUCCGUGCUUUUAGUCUUCAAGGCCGGCGUGUCCGGCGACCCCAAGGGAGCGCUCGCUGGCUGGGGUUCGCCGGACGUAUGCAACUGGACCGGUGUCGCUUGCGACACGGAGCAUCAUGUUGUCAAGUUAAUACUAAGUGAACAAGAGCUCUCUGGCAAGGUCUCGUUCGCGCUUGGCAACCUCUCCCACCUCAGGACGCUCAACCUCUCUGGCAACCACUUCACUGGAAGCGUCCCGCCGGAGCUCGGCAACCUCUCCUACCUUAAGUUUCUGGACGUGUCCUCGAACACGCUCACCGGGACGGUUCCGCCGGAGCUUGGCAACCUCUCCCGCCUAAAGUUUCUCAACAUGUCGUCGAACAUGCUCACCCGGGCGGUCCCUCCGGAGCUCGGCAACCUAUCCCGCCUCAAGUUUCUAGACGUGUCGUCGAACACGCUCACCGGGAUGGUCGCACCGGAGCUCGGCAACCUCUCGAGACUCAGCAUCCUCGAUCUCUCCGAGAACGUCCUCUCCGGGGUGGUGCCGCAGGAGCUCGGGAAACUUUCUCGGCUGACGCAACUCAGCCUCAACAGAAACCAGUUGGAGGGAUCGAUUCCGGUGGAGCUCUCGCGUAUUCAGCACUUGUUAUACCUCAAUCUCGGCGACAACAACCUCUCCGGGCAUAUCCCGUCUGCUAUCUUCUGCAACCUCUCUGCCUUGAACUACAUUGAUAUGUCGUCCAACUUUCUAGACGGCGAGAUCCCCAUCCGAGCGGAUUGCCCACUCCCCGAGCUGAAGUCCCUUGUGUUGUGGUCCAACAAACUCAAUGGCAGCAUCCCCCGCUCGCUGUCAAACUCGACGAAGCUCCAAUGGCUGCUACUACAGACGAACUUCCUCACCGGCGAGCUGCCGUCGGAUGACAUGUUCAGCGGCAUGAGGAGCCUCGAGUAUUUGUACCUAUCGUCCAACUUCCUCGCGAACUCGCGGAACAAUACCAACCUUGAGCCGUUCUUCGCCUCACUUACCAACUGCACCGGCCUAAAGGAGCUCAGCAUCGCUAGGAAUAACAUUGCCGGCACGAUCCCACCUGUCAUUGGUCGCCUCUCUCCCGGCCUCAUGCAGCUCCACCUUCAACUUAAUAGAAUCUUUGGUCCGAUCCCGGCGAACAUCUCCAACCUCACCAACCUCAGCUCCCUCAACCUCUCCCAUAACCUCCUCAACGGCUCCAUCCCACAGGGCAUCACCAACAUGCGGCAGCUCGAGUGGCUGCACCUCUCAAACAACCUGCUCUCCGGUGAUAUCCCGUCGUCCCUAGGCAUGAUCCCAUGGCUCGGGCACGUCAAUUUUUCGCAGAACCGGCUCACCGGCGCCAUUCCUCCGAGCAUAGUGCAGUGUGUGAUGAUGCAAAAUCUUGACCUCUCCUACAACAUGUUGCAAGGCCAGAUCCCAGCUGGCUUGUCUAGGCUGAGCGGACUGCUCAACCUCAACCUUGCCGGCAACCUGCUGUCUGGCGCGAUCCCCGUGACCCUGGGCGAGAUGGUUAGGCUGCAAUUGCUUAACCUGUCCUCAAACAAGCUCUCCGGCACAAUCCCGUCACAGCUCGGCAGCUGCAUCGAGCUCAAGUACCUCGAUGUGUCCUGCAAUGGCCUCACGGGGACCCUCCCUCAAUCCUUGGAGAAGGUGGCGUCGCUGGUGCGUGUUAACUUUUCAUACAACGACUUCUCGGGCGAGGUGCCGAGCGGCGGGGCCUUUGCAGGGUUUCGGGCGGACGCGUUCCUCGGCAAUGACAGACUGUGUGCGGGGACAGCGUCGAUGACGCCUGGGUUGUCAAGGUGCAGCGGCGCGAAGCGCAACUUGCUCCAUAACCGGCAAGUGGUGUUGCUCGUCGUCGGCAUAGUCGCGAGCUUCACGAUGGCAAUCAUUGGGCUGGCCGUGUGCCGCGCCGUGGGACGAGACAGGCGGCGCUCACCGCUGCUACCAUGCGAACCCAACACGAGGGGGGACUACCCGAGGAUCUCUCAACGGGAGCUCUACGAGGCGACUGGCGGGUUCGAGCAGUCGAGGCUGAUCGGCGGGGGGCGGUUCGGGCGCGUGUACGAGGGGACGCUCCGUGACGGCACGCGUGUCGCCGUCAAGGUGCUCGACCCAAAGAACGGAGGCGGCGAGGUCUCCCGGAGCUUCAAGCGGGAGUGCGGUGUGCUGAGGCGGACGCGGCACAGGAACCUGGUGCGCGUGGUCACCACGUGCACCCAGCCGGACUUCCACGCCAUCGUGCUCCCGCUGAUGACAAAUGGUAGCCUCGAGAGCCACCUCUACCCGCGUGACGGCGGCCCCGGACGUGGCAUGGACCUCGCAUGGCUGGUUGCCAUCGCCGGCGACAUAGCCGAGGGGCUCACCUACCUGCAUCACUACGCACCCGUCCGCGUCGUACACUGCGACCUUAAGCCCAGCAACGUGCUCCUAGAUGACGACAUGAUGGCCGUCGUGGCCGACUUCGGCAUCGCGCGGCUGGUCAAGGACAUGGGGGACGACGACAACACAGGCUCUGCUGACCCCUGCAACUCCACUGCCGGAUUGUUGCAAGGCUCCGUGGGCUACAUCGCACCAGAGUACGGACUCGGAGGCCACCCUUCGACAGAAGGCGACGUGUACAGCUUCGGCGUAAUGCUACUAGAGAUGAUCACCGGGAAGCGCCCGACCGAUGUGCUCUUCCAAGAGGGGCUCACGUUGCAUGGCUGGGUGAGGCGGCACCACCCUCAUGACCUCACCGCCAUCAUCGCACGACCAUGGUUGGCGGCCACGGACGCGAUGUUGUCGGUGGCACAAGCGAACAACGUCGUCAUCGAGCUGAUGGACCUUGGGAUCGCGUGCACUCAGCACUCACCGCCGGCGCGACCCACCAUGGUGGAUGUGUGCCGCGCGAUCGCCCUCCUCAAGGAUUCGUCUUCUUCCUGA
rnacentral:rRNA from 1 species